rnacentral:lncRNA from 1 species
CUGGAAGGAGAGGAUGAAGAUCUUCGUUCAGUCCAACAGCUUUCACCUUUGGAAGGUGAUAAUGAAGGGAAACCAAAUUCCAACAAAGAAGGUGGAAACGAAUGGGUUCCCAAGUCCGAGGAUGAGUAUGACGCGGAUGACAUCCGAAAGGUUCAAAAUAAUGCUAAAGCAAUAAAUUUAUUACAUUGUGCUGUUAGUGCUGAUGAUUACA